ACCUUUGACAUGUACGGAAUCCUUUAGAGAUGAAGGAGUGCUCGAAAGAGAGCCGUAACACAGGUGCUGCAUGGCUGUCGUCAGCUCGUGUCGUGAGAUGUUGGGUUAAGUCCCGCAACGAGCGCAACCCUUGCCAUUAGUUGCUACGAAAGGGCACUCUAAUGGGACUGCCGGUGACAAACCGGAGGAAGGUGGGGAUGACGUCAAGUCCUCAUGGCCCUUAUAGGUGGGGCUACACACGUCAUACAAUGGCUGGUACAGAGGGUUGCCAACCCGCGAGGGGGAGCUAAUCUCAUAAAGCCAGUCGUAGUCCGGAUCGCAGUCUGCAACUCGACUGCGUGAAGUCGGAAUCGCUAGUAAUCGCGGAUCAGAAUGUCGCGGUGAAUACGUUCCCGGGUCUUGUACACACCGCCCGUCACACCAUGGGAGCGGGUUCUGCCAGAAGUAGUUAGCCUAACCGCAAGGAGGGCGAUUACCACGGCAGGGUUCGUGACUGGGGUGAAGUCGUAACAAGGUAGGCGUAGUGCU
rnacentral:rRNA from 1 species